rnacentral:lncRNA from 1 species
GAAGGGCACGAUGGCUGCAGUGUGCCACAGAGGGUGUUCUCGGGCCAGGAGCUCUCGAAGACUGGUGAGUAACUCCUGGGCUGGAGAUUCCUCAGUCUGAGUACUGCCUGCGCUAUGGCGGAGUGGGGGCAACAUCCGUGACGCAUUUUGCAGCACAAAGUGUGUGAUCUCUAUACCACCAGCGCCACUUAGGAGUACAUAGAUAGCAUUGUGGAAAUGGUGCGAACGCUGUGGCUGCAGGAGGUCGUGGAGCUCAUCUAGCAGCGCAGGUGGCAAGAGUUCAGCCUCAUCCAGGACCAAGAGAGGGGUCUUCUCCUCGGCCUCAGCCUGUGCCACCACAUCUGCCACUCGCUGUGCCAGCUCCUUCCGGCAGUCCUGAACCGGGCGUGGCUCUGGACAGUGAUAUCGUGCAUGGUACUGCAGAACCAAAGCACCAUCUUCCAGCACUGCGCGAAAGUGGCGCGCCAACAGACGCCCCACGUGACUCUUGCCUACACCACUGGGCCCGUGCAGUGCCAGGAGCAAGGGAUGACUGUGCACAUGUGUAGCCAGGUAGUCUCGCAGCAGGGCCAUGAUGCGGCCCACAGCAGCUGGCUGUCCAAACACAGAACGCUGCAGCGCCUUCUCCAGCCCGUCGAGGUCGUAACGUUGUGCAUUAUCGUCUAGAUUCUCAAUGGCGUUGAGAACCUGGAACCCCACAAUGGCUACAAGAAGCAGCAGACAACGCUGUGCACGACUCUGCCGCUCUGUGCGGGGUCGGCACUUCCGUGAGGUUUCUGGGUAGAGAACUACCCGACUACGCCUGCGCCUCUUGCGGGGUGUCCUAGAAGUCAGCUCUGUCAGGCUGUCGAAGGUGAAGAAUUUAGGUUGGUCUAGGUCGGCACGUAGAGUGCCCAAGCUGCCGGUGGGCCCAAGUGUCCCUGUCCCAGAGUCCGGCUCAGUGCCUGGCUGCAAGAGGCGCCUCUUGCGCAGGACGCAGACUCGGCGGCGCAGACGGAGCACGGCGCGCACUGGCGCUAUCACACAUGGUCCCUUGGCCUGGGGCUCUAGGCUAGGAUGGCUGCGGUCCAUGGUUCAGGACCUAUGCUGGGCAUGUAGUUCCCCUCCCUGCAAUAGAAAAAUGGGAAGACUUCGUGAGUCCCCGAUCUUACCCUCUUGGGGUUCCUUAAGGUACUUUCCGGCCAAAUACUGGCCCCGCCUCGCUAGUUCCACUAACCAGGAAGCCCGGCUCUCAGCAGGAGGGCCCCAACGCAUGCAAAUCUCUUGGGUCCUCUCCGAAAAGGCCUAGGCUGUGAGGAAGUGCGGGGGUGGGGCGAGGUGUAUAAUUUAUCAUACUGUUGACCUCCCUCUUAGAGGAAUAAACAGAAGGCUCGUUGUCACU